UACGUAGGGUGCAAGCGUUGUCCGGAAUUAUUGGGCGUAAAGAGCUCGUAGGCGGUCUGUCGCGUCUGCUGUGAAAACUCGGGGCUUAACCCCGGGCCUGCAGUGGGUACGGGCAGACUAGAGUGUUGCAGGGGAGACUGGAAUUCCUGGUGUAGCGGUGAAAUGCGCAGAUAUCAGGAGGAACACCGGUGGCGAAGGCGGGUCUCUGGGCAACAACUGACGCUGAGGAGCGAAAGCGUGGGGAGCGAACAGG
rnacentral:rRNA from 1 species